GCUAAUGGGCUUGCUGGGUCGGGUUGGUUUGCCGGAUCGGGUCGGGUUAUACCCGGUUCGGGUCGGUUUGACCCGACUGUUAAAAUUUUUUUUCUUUUUUUUUCUUCUUUCUUCUUCUCUCUUUCUUUCUUCUUCUUCUUCUUCCUUCUUCUUCUUCUUCAAAACCGAGCCCCCCACACCGUCGCUUCUUUCACGCCGCCGUUCGAGCUGCCACCGUCGACUCCACCGGACCUUUCUCUUUCCUUUCUUUUCUCUCCCCUUUUUUCUUAUUUUUGAAGCUUUUUUUCUCUUUGAAACUUUUUUUUGGAGAUUCAUGGGGUUCUUGAUUUUUGGAGUUUAAACUCCUUUUUAUAGUUGGUUUUGCUUCUUUUUUGCAGGUAGCAAGUGGGGAAGGAGCAGCCACCCAUGUUUGUGGCCUGAAAAUCUGGGAAGUGGGUGCCCCAAAUCACGUAACCUGUCU
rnacentral:lncRNA from 1 species